UUACGGUCACAUUACCAUAAAAACACCGGUUCUUAUACGAUCACCGAAGCUAAGCAACGUCAAGCCUGGUUAGUACUUAGAUGGGUAACCGCUUUGGAAUUUCAGGUGUUGUAAG